rnacentral:rRNA from 1 species
CCAGACUCCUACGGGAGGCAGCAGUGGGGGAUAUUGCACAAUGGGGGAAACCCUGAUGCAGCGACGCCGCGUGGGUGAAGAAGUAUUUCGGCAUGUAAAGCCCUAUCAGCAGGGAAGAAAGAAGACGGUACCUGACUAAGAAGCCCCGGCUAGCUACGUGCCAGCAGCCGCGGUAAUGCGUAGGGGGCGAGCGUUAUCCGGAUUCACUGGGUGUAAAGGGAGCGUAGACGGCCGUGCAAGCCAGGAGUGAAAGCCCGGGGCCCAACCCCGGGACUGCUCUUGGAACUGUGCGGCUGGAGUGCGGGAGGGGCAGGCGGAAUUCCUGGUGUAGCGGUGAAAUGCGUAGAUAUCAGGAGGAACACCGGCGGCGAAGGCGGCCUGCUGGACCGCGACUGACGUUGAGGCUCGAGAGCGUGGGGAGCAAACAGGAUUAGAUACCCGAGUAAC